UGUGUGUAGGUAGUGUGUGUAGGUAGUGUGUGUAGGUAGUGUGUAGGUAGUGUGUCUACUCCGGUGCAGUGCAGUCUCUCCUGGAGCCAAGCCAGGGAGCUGGAGUCUUAGUGUGUGUAGGUAGUGUGUGUAGGUAGUGUGUAGGUAGUGUGUGUAGGUAGUGUGUAGGUAGUGUGUGUAGGUAGUGUGUGUAGGUAGUGUGUCUACUCCGGUGCAGUGCAGUCUCUCCUGGAGCCAAGCCAGGGAACUGGAGUCUUAGUGUGUGUAGGUAGUGUGUGUAGGUAGUGUGUGUAGGUAGUGUGUGUAGGUAGUGUGUAGGUAGUGUGUGUAGGUAGUGUGUAGGUAGUGUGUGUAGGUAGUGUGUGUAGGUAGUGUGUCUACUCCGGUGCAGUGCAGUCUCUCCUGGAGCCAAGCCAGGGAACUGGAGUCUUAGUGUGUGUAGGUAGUGUGUGUAGGUAGUGUGUGUAGGUAGUGUGUGUAGGUAGUGUGUGUAGGUAGUGUGUGUAGGUAGUGUGUGUAGGUAGUGUGUGUAGGUAGUGUGUGUAGGUAGUGUGUGUAGGUAGUGUGUAGGUAGUGUGUCUACUCCGGUGCAGUGCAGUCUCUCCUGGAGCCAAGCCAGGGAGCUGGAGUCUUAGUGUGUGUAGGUAGUGUGUGUAGGUAGUGUGUGUAGGUAGUGUGUGUAGGUAGUGUGUGUAGGUAGUGUGUGUAGGUAGUGUGUGUAGGUAGUGUGUAGGUAGUGUGUGUAGGUAGUGUGUCUACUCCGGUGCAGUGCAGUCUCUCCUCAAGCCAGGGAACUGGAGUCUUAGUGUGUGUAGGUAGUGUGUGUAGGUAGUGUGUGUAGGUAGUGUGUGUAGGUAGUGUGUGUAGGUAGUGUGUAGGUAGUGUGUGUAGGUAGUGUGUGUAGGUAGUGUGUGUAGGUAGUGUGUAGGUAGUGUGUGUAGGUAGUGUGUGUAGGUAGUGUGUAGGUAGUGUGUGUAGGUAGUGUGUGUAGGUAGUGUGUCUACUCCGGUGCAGUGCAGUCUCUCCUCAAGCCAGGGAACUGGAGUCUUAGUGUGUGUAGGUAGUGUGUGUAGGUAGUGUGUAGGUAGUGUGUGUAGGUAGUGUGUAGGUAGUGUGUAGGUAGUGUGUAGGUAGUGUGUGUAGGUAGUGUGUGUAGGUAGUGUGUGUAGGUAGUGUGUGUAGGUAGUGUGUGUAGGUAGUGUGUCUACUCCGGUGCAGUGCAGUCUCUCCUCAAGCCAGGGAACUGGAGUCUUAGUGUGUGUAGGUAGUGUGUAGGUAGUGUGUGUAGGUAGUGUGUGUAGGUAGUGUGUAGGUAGUGUGUGUAGGUAGUGUGUGUAGGUAGUGUGUCUACUCCGGUGCAGUGCAGUCUCUCCUCAAGCCAGGGAACUGGAGUCUUAGUGUGUGUAGGUAGUGUGUGUAGGUAGUGUGUCUACUCCGGUGCAGUGCAGUCUCUCCUCAAGCCAGGGAACUGGAGUCUUAGUGUGUGUAGGUAGUGUGUAGGUAGUGUGUGUAGGUAGUGUGUGUAGGUAGUGUGUGUAGGUAGUGUGUCUACUCCGGUGCAGUGCAGUCUCUCCUGGAGCCAAGCCAGGGAACUGGAGUCUUAGUGUGUGUAGGUAGUGUGUGUAGGUAGUGUGUGUAGGUAGUGUGUGUAGGUAGUGUGUAGGUAGUGUGUCUACUCCGGUGCAGUGCAGUCUCUCCUCAAGCCAGGGAACUGGAGUCUUAGUGUGUGUAGGUAGUGUGUGUAGGUAGUGUGUGUAGGUAGUGUGUAGGUAGUGUGUGUAGGUAGUGUGUAGGUAGUGUGUGUAGGUAGUGUGUCUACUCCGGUGCAGUGCAGUCUCUCCUGGAGCCAAGCCAGGGAACUGGAGUCUUAGUGUGUGUAGGUAGUGUGUGUAGGUAGUGUGUGUAGGUAGUGUGUAGGUAGUGUGUGUAGGUAGUGUGUGUAGGUAGUGUGUGUAGGUAGUGUGUGUAGGUAGUGUGUCUACUCCGGUGCAGUGCAGUCUCUCCUGGAGCCAAGCCAGGGAACUGGAGUCUUAGUGUGUGUAGGUAGUGUGUGUAGGUAGUGUGUAGGUAGUGUGUGUAGGUAGUGUGUAGGUAGUGUGUGUAGGUAGUGUGUCUACUCCGGUGCAGUGCAGUCUCUCCUCAAGCCAGGGAACUGGAGUCUUAGUGUGUGUAGGUAGUGUGUAGGUAGUGUGUAGGU